rnacentral:lncRNA from 10 species
GCAUCAUUGUCUUUAGGGCUUUUUCUGCACAGAGAUCAGGAUAAGAAAAGGAAAAACAUCCCAAGGCCUAACAGUGAAGGCAUCUGUUGCUGACCACACUGAGGGCUGUGGCUUCUCUUCAGACCUGGACUGGUGAGGUCUGCAGGCCUCUGGGCUGAGCCCGACUCCUCUUCAGCCUCAUUAACCCAGAAAGGGGUCUGGAGAGGUGAAUUUAGGCAGAUUCCAACGAGCAAGAACUGAUCAUCGUUCCUGCUUACCGCUGGUUGUUCUGGACAAGAAGUGAUAGGCAUUCUGUGAGCUGCCGUGAACCAUGAGCACACAAACACAGCCCCUGCCCUAGAGGAGCUUACAGUUUAAGUGAAAAAGGUGGACAGACAGGAGGAGGCUACCAGACAUCCAGUCAUCGCUGUUGACCUGCUAGGACAGACGGGAGGUCCUUCCUCUGGACAACUCUCUGAGAACUCACUGCUGUUGGGACCAGAAAGCUGGGACCCUGGCUGAUCAGGUACAGCACAUGGCAGAGGAAUGUUCAAGACUGGAGGUCUGCGGGGAACAGACCAUCUCCCGGCAGGUUCAACAGGGGAUGCUGCAUCAGGCCCAGAGGACAGGGUCUGAAGAUGCUGGAAGAAGGGGAUGAAGAGGCUACAUCCGGAGGCAGAGAGGAUGGUGGUAUGAUGGGGAUGGGGUGUGGCCACUUCAAAUCCUCUGCCCCAACAUUAGCAAGAGGGAGAAGCUCAGGACAUCAGUCCAGGUUCUGGGAGAGCACCAGGGACACCUGCAGUCCAAAUGAGGAAAGCGUCGCCCCCACUGGCCAGCUGUCACCACAGAGCCAAAUGGGGAAAUCAAUCAGGAUUAUGAUUAUGGGAUACAGGUUGGGGAUGCUCUAAAAAGAGCCCCCAGCGUUCACGACAGUUUUCCAGUCAAUCUGAACACAGGUAGAGCAGCCAGUGAAAGGUUGCAGCUCUUCCCAAAAGGAUGUGGGGUCAGAUUCGGAGCCUGGUGCCACUGACAAGUCCUGCCUUGCCUUUGGGGACAGAUCCAAGGCCCUAGGACAAGAGCCAGAGGCUGAAGAAACUUGGAAGAAACAGCUGCCCGGCCUCAGGAAGAGGGCCCUUCUUUCUUGGUGGGUUGUCUGGGAAGAAAGCUAAUGUUUUUGAUUGUAGGCAAGCAGGGUACCAAAACUACAUCCCUUGUCCCUUCCCUAGCACAAACAGAGAAACCUUGGAAAAGGAAGCCAGACACACAGCCAGUCUCCAAAGUGGGGCACACCAUCUCCAAAUGGAUUACAUGACCCAUUGAGCAGCCUUCACCGUGGAUUAUUUAGGCACUGUUAAGAGUCAGGGCUCUAUAAAUUGGAUGUAAAAUGCAUGCGGGUUUCCUGUAGUUUAUCAAGCUGGUAACUCCCUAAAACCAGAACACAGAGCAAGAAUAUGCCAAAGAGCUGAAGAAGGAGGAGAUGAAAACUUUCUAAAGUUAACGCUGGAUUCAGAACCCAAGAUUUAGCACCCUGCUCACCCAGCCCACGGGUAUUUAGGGGAGGGCCCACUUGACCUUGGCCUCAAAGGCAGGAGAUGUCGCCCCUGGUUAUUUUUUAUGGAUUCAUCAUGCACAAUUUACUUGUUUCCGCAGAGAUUUAUAUUUUUAAUCUGGACUGACUCUUGCGCUCUCUAAAUUUACUACCUUGGAAACAACAGUACUUCCUUUUGUUUAUUCUACACUGUACUUCUUUCAAGCCGUGAAGAGUGUUCCUGAACUGGGUGUUCUGGAAAAGCUCCCUCCGGCUAUUCCCACUCAUCAGUUUAGUAGGCUUUGGUCAUAUUUGCUUUGAGUUUCAUCCAUCCAGCCCACCUGUAUUUAUUGAGCACUUACUAUGUGCCCUGAAUUGGGCAUCUCUGCCUCCACUACACUCAUUUUUUUGGUUCUUUUGAUUGUUCUUCACUCUUUUCUUUCUUCACUUACCCAUCUAAAUAAUUUCACUGGGCGAGGUGCAGUAGCUCAUGCCUGUAAUCCCAGCACCUUGGGAGGCCAGGGAGAGAGAAUCACUUGAAGCCAGGAAAUUGAGACCAGGCUGAGUAAGAAAAUGAGAUGCCAUCUCUACAAAAAAAAAGAAAAAAUUAGCUAGGCAUAGUGGUGCGCUGGUAGUCACAGCUACUUGGGAUGCUUCUGAGGAAGGAUCGCAUGAGCCUGGGAGGUCAAGGCUGCAGUGAGCUGUGACCAUGCCACUGCACUCCAGCCUGGGUGGCGCGGUGAGACCCUUUCCCUAAUAAUAAUAGUAAUGAUGAUAGCUUCACUGACCUGCAAAAAUUAAAUAAGCAUAUCACCAUUUUCUUUUCACAAAAGAGGGAACCAAGGUGCAGAGAUAUUUCAUUCUCAAGAACUACUGCAAAGCUGCAGUCUCAUCUGAAGGAGAUGAGUGUUGAAGUUUGCAGACUUGGGUUCAAAUUCUGGCUCUACUGCUUACCAGCCAGGUGACCUUGGGUAUGUUGAGGAACUGCCCUGAGCCUUAAUCUCCUCAUCUGUAGAAUGGACGUCAUAUCACUUCUCUCAAAAGAUUCUGAAGAAUUAAAUAAGAAAAAAAAAAAAAGAAUUAAAUAAGAAAACACUUGCAUGUGACAUAGGAGCAGUUCUUCAUAUGAAUCCAGGCCACUUGUUUGCAGAAACAUGGCCCUUCCACUACAAGAAGGCAUAAGACUACAGAGGCAGGACAGGGACAGGAAGGCAAGAGUUAGAUUCAUUGAUUUCCUGACAUCCUGCACAUUAUGAGAAGGAAACAAAAUUAACCAAAUGCCAAGCACAGCUUUCCCCUAAAGUGGGAGUGUCAGCAUCCUCUCUCUCCCUGGCCAACGUCUUCCUUCAGAGGGAUGUCAUGCAGAGAACAAGGAACCAGAGUCACGAACGGGCCGGGCCCUUGUUUCAAGUCAUAAGUUAAUGCCACCUUUGGCUGGUUGCCAUUUUGUGAAAUUGUAGGAAGAUGUGUCAGUCUUUCAGUGUUUGAUCGCUCUCUAACCUAAGAAAGAAUUUCCCUCUAGACCUGGACAUGAAUGUGAAGGCUGGGGGCAUAUUUGGUACCCAACUGAGAAUAGAACUCUUGCUAAGCAAGAAAGACUCAAAGCCCUUGAGAAAGAUUCAUGGCGAGGACUGUGCAGAGGAAACCGACUGUUUAAGGACACCUUCCAGGUCUGUGUGGGUCCAGGGCAGGAGCCGCAGAGGGGCAGACCCCCAAGGUGAUCAGAGCACUUGAUUGUGGCAAGGAAGGGCAUGUGGUCCCUUCUGUGCCCCAUAGGUGAGAUCAGUAGUGACCAACCUGGGGCCCACACUUGUUCUCUGCAGGCUUGCUAGCAGAUGGCUUGUGCUGUGUCCUCCCCUCAGUGUCAUCCUUUUAACAAGAAUCACAGAAUUGAAGCUUUCAAGGGUCUCCGGGUAGCAGGUGGUGGAGGCUCCGCUAAGGCUCUGGGAGGUGUACUGGAGUUGAAGUGAGAGGCAUCACCCUGGGAGGGUCUCUCCCAUCCUUGCUCCUCCCCUGUCCAGUGAGGGACUAGAUCAGCACUUCCCUCAAAGUCUGCUGCCUGGACCAUCAAUUUCAAAUGACCAAGGUCCAUGGUAACGGUGUGGAUUCCUGGCCCAUGCAAGCUGACUGGGUGAUUCUACUAACUUUGAGAACCCCAGACACAAUAAUCAGUAACUCUCUUCCAGACCUAAUAACACAGAACUGCGUGACCACACACAGACAAAAACACCUCCAGCACCUCACCUUGUCACCUUUGGAAAGACUGGGCCCUGAGUAUCAGAGUCUGAUCAGAACACCACCCCUACCACCUUCAUUUCUUUAGCCUAAAGCUCCGGCCUUCAUUGAAAUAAAAUCUCAUGCAGUAAAUUGUUAUCAGUCGUUUAUACCCCCAGGAGCCUGAGCUUCAAAUAAUUUGCUGAGGACAGAUGUGAGCCCAGAGAAAAACCAGGAGGGUAGGGUGGGGAGAUGGGCAGGAGAGGGGAAAGUGUAGGGGAGAGGGUCCAGGGACCUAGAAAUUUCUGAGAUAAAUAUUGCCCCAUUCACAAUUUCAACUAUGGCUGGUGCCGAAUAAGAACGAAUCUUCCCAAACAGGCACAUACCUAGUGGUUCUCGCCCAUCCUACUUCGGGAGUUUGUUCCUGACCUUGCUACUUGUUUGAAGCUUAGCACAUCCUGACCGAAGCCUUAGACCCUGCUUCCAACAGAAUUUGAACUGGAAACUAGUGUUUGCCCAAGGCUUUCCUGCUGAAAAAUAAUAUUUGUGGAAGGACAGAGCUGGCUCAGAAGUUCUGAGCAGAUCCAGAAGCUUCUCUUUCACAGUCUGUGUCUGUGUAACCGGCCACUCCUCAUCCACAACUCCAUUCAUCUCUCAUGUUUUGGCACUUCUGGGGGACAUUCUGGCCCCUUCAGACCCUCAAAAGGGAACCAGGAAAGAGUAUACAGGGCUUUUUUUUGCAGGGCUAUGAAUACCCUCACUCAGAAAGGGUCAGGGCAGGUACCAAGCUGUCUUAUCCAGAAUUUGGUGCUGUUUUUGCUUGCUCUUUGAAGCUACUUAGGCUUCCCUUUGCACUCCUGUGACUCUUUAGAAGAGUCCAAUUCCUCCUUAUUUAUUUAUUUCAUGCUGACUUCUAAGCUCCCCGACACCCAGUGAGUCCCCUCUUCCCCCAGACACAUCCCCGUCCCAUCCUCCCUUCUCACUGUGCCUGCAUGUAAGGGCUCACUCAGCCCUUUCUCAGAUCUGCUGGAGGUGCUCUGCUCCUUUAAGGGGCUCCUCACAGCAGGACGUGGGACCACAGCCUACAGGACCGGCCAGCCAUUCUGACAGGUGAGAGCCUGGAUCCCUGCUCUCCAGAACCUCAAGAAGCUCAGAGCCUGAACGUGCUGACACAAGGGGCUCCCUCUCUCACAAGGACACUCUGUGCCAGAUGCAUUGUGCAGAGUACCUCCACCAUGACCAGGUGAUUUAGGCAUCCUUGUGCUUUCUGCAGAUAAGGCGAGGGGGACUCUUGGAGGUGACCUAGCUUGCCCAAUGUCCCGCCCAGGCACAUGGAGAGCUGUGAUUCUAAGUCAAUGUCUCCAACCCAAAGCCCAGUGCCCUUCACAUCUGAUAGGGACAAGACAGCAAUACCAGGAGGGACCUGCAGGUGGAGUGGUGACAUGAUGGAAGCAGUAGCUUCUGGAAGAGCUUCUGGAAUCCAUGUGUGAGAUGGACUGGGAGGAAGAUGAGUAAAGAUCGGCCACAACGGGGAGGCGGUGAGAAGCAUCAAAAUGAUUAGGUGACUUCGUGGAUGUAAAUCCUUUUCCAGGGCAAAGCUAAAAACAACUCUUUGUGACAGGAAGGGGUUAACUCUCUCAAGAGAGCUCAAUGACUACCCAGUCUCAGAGCCCCUGCUGUGCUCAGGCAGAAAAUGGGCAGGAGUAGCCCAAGGAAUACUUUAUUGAUGCGGUGAUCGGCCUCACAUGAAACUGCAGUUUGUGGAGGGCAGCAAGCAGCCCAGACUGUGAUAGUUGAAGCAGGUUAGAGCUGCAUAACCCUAAACAGCAGAGUUUUAUCAGUCCUUCAGCUCCUGUGCCCUCCCAGCUCCAGACAUCCACCAGCAGGCUCUAACCUCAGGAUUUCCCAUGGUGCACAGAAGACUUGUCCUGAUUUGGGAUAAUGGAGACAGUGUGACCAUGGUGGUAGUUGGGAGUGGGAACUGUUCCCUGAACCCAGCCUGAAGCAAUUUUAAAGGGCAGGGCCACCCGGGGCCCAGGGUCUGCAGCUAGUUAAAAAAAUAAUCUCUGAUGAGGUCUCAAGGUUUGGCUCUUUUUCUCUCCACUGAUUUCUCCCAGACAGACCAGAUGGAUUUGGUUCCAGGUCAGCGUGUUCUCUUACCCUUCAGCUCAGCAGCCAUCCAUUUCUCCUGUCUACCUCUCCUAACUAUCUGCAGUAAUAAAAUCCUACCUUGAACAGUGCAUUCUGAUUUGCAAAGCUCCCUCAAUGCACGAUCUCAUUUGGUCUUCUUAACAAUACUAAGGUAGAGGUAUUUUUUCCCAUUUUACGGAUGAAAACCUGAAGCUCAGAAGCUAUCACUUGCCCAAGGCCAUAAAAACUGAGCCCAGGCACGACACAGUGGUGCCUGUAAUCCCAGCACUUUGGGAGGCCAAG